GGUUGCACUUAAUCCAAACAGCAGCCAGACCUCUUCCAGCUUGGAGCCUUUGUUUCUCCUGCCUAUUUCUUCACACACCACCUUUCUUUGUAGGGAAGUUCCACGUCUGUGCUUUCCAGCAAUGAUUCAAGAUUUAACUCUGGAGGGGCUCUCCAAACCUCUUUAUCUGCACAGGGGCUGUAACAACUGUGAUGAAGUGGCUGUGGCAGAGCAGAGGAGCAGAGGGAUUCAGGAUGCUCGUGGGCUCUGCAGGGCUGUCAAGUACAAGCUGCUGAGAUGGAUCCAGCUUCUUUUCUGUGCCAGCAGAGAGAAGGUGAAUGAGGGGAAUACCUGCAGCUUCCUGAACUCCAGCAGGUUCUAUCUCUUCAGAGGUGUUUUUCACGGAUUAAAAAAUGUUUGGGGCUCUGCUAUGAAAUUUUACAGCAGGUAAAUUUUUUCAAGAGGAACCAACAAACAGGAGCAGCUCUAAAGAGGUAUAGCGUUUCCACCAGUAGCUGAGAAUAGCAGGUAUAGCAAUUUUCAGUGUCAGGAAAAUCCACAGCCAGAGGUUUAUGUCCAAAAAGGAGACAAAGGAGUCCUGCAACUUUAUUGGAAUAAAGGGGGAAAGUCGACGAGGGCACAAGCCUGCCUGGGCUCUGCAGCAAACCUGCUGCUGGAAGUCGGUGGAGACAUUAAUCCAUUUCAAAGACGUUCACACCCACAGUUUCACCCAUCAAGCUCUUUGUAAAGACGUGAGCUUUUCUCUCCAUCCCUCCUCUUCUUAUUUCUAACUUUGUCUUUACAAACCCUAGUCGUUAACAACUCAUUGACACAACCUGGAACAUUUGAAACAGCCCCUCCCAACUUCUUGGUGUGGCAAGUAAAUCCAGAGGAUAAAUCCAGGCACUGGCAGUUUGUACUGGCCCAUUAAUCACUGCAGGUCCUGGCCCAGGACUCCCAGCCUUUUCUUCCAGCUGAGAAGUCCCAAAUCUGGGGGGCUUUAGAGCCUUGACCCCAGUGUGAGGGGUCCCCCGUGUCCAGCUGUCCUGGCCGCAGUUCCUGCAGGCCUGGCUGGAGGAUUUGGACACCAGAGUGCAAAGGCAGCACCUACACUGACUGGGCUUCGUAUUCAAGUACUCCCAGAUGAAC